GUUUCUUAUAUUUAAAAACUAGGGUCGGCCCGUCCUACGGGCGGGAUAUACUUUACUUGUGAUUUAGACUAUUAUUUUUUUGUAUAAUUUUGUAGUUUGUGUUUUAGGUUUGUAUUUCAAAGAGAUAUGUAUGAUACACUACAAAAAAAAAAUAUUUUAUCACAUAAAUAUUAUCAGAAAAAACAAAUGAUAUAUUAAUCUUUGUUAAGCACAUGAAAAUCAAUUAAAAGAUAUAUUGUAUUUUACUAUUGUUCUGUUGGUCUUAUUAGAAAUCAAAAGUUUGAUAAAUUAAUUAAAAAAAUAUUUUUUUCAUUAAUGUAAUUAUUUUACAUUUUUAGUGUUUGCUAUAUUUUUACUAUAAAAGCAAGUGAAAUAAAAAUACUUGUCACUACAGUUGAAACUCAAUUAAUAAAUUAUGAAUCAUUUUUCAUUCUUAUAUAUUUUUUUGAGUGUGUUGGUACUUUUUAUACAUUUUUAAACUUAUUGAGUUAGAUAAUGUGAAAAAUGAAUCAAUUUACAAUUUGUUUUCUAAAGUUCGUUAAAUAACAUAACAAUCUAAAAUUGAUUAUUUAAGUAUACACACAUUUUAUUAAAACAUUUAUCAAAUAAACCAUAUCAUCCAAACUUUUAUCAAAUAAACCAUAUGCAGAAGCUAAGGUCGUACUACACUUUCAGAUUAAGUAACACUCAUUCAUUUAAGCAGGAUUUUUUAAAAUUAUAUUACUGUGAAAUUAAUAAUCCCUUAUAGUCUUACUAUAAUAUAAAGUUAUAAAAGUAGAUUCAAAUCAAUAGUUACUUUAAAAUCAUAAUAUGUAAAUUUUGAUGUUACAAAAGAUAAUGUAUCUUUACGUUAAUAGAAUUUAAACCAAUAUAUUUUUUUGGUUAAGUUCUUAAAGAACUUUAUGAAGCAUAUAAACGUUGGUUAAGCUUCUGUUGCAGAGGCUUUUCGAAUUCAUGUACAUGAUACUUCAAGUACCCCUCGUUGUAAUAUCCAUAACUUACUGGGAUGACUUGUCCUAGGCACUCGAUAUAUUAGGCCUUCCAUCUUCAUAAAUUCCAUGAUUCCCUUGAUGGUAGUGCAUUUUGAUGUUGACCAACUCUUUGAACCUGAAAUCUUGUUUCGAGCAAUAAAGCCAAAAACUUUAUUAAAUUGGGCAUGCUACUAUAUACUCCUUUCUGUAACAUCUAAGACCAAAUAUAAUAUCAGUUACUUACCUUACCUACAUACCUUUAUAAUGCGAUCUGUUCUAAAUUCAUUCUUCCAUUUAAACAUUUCUUCCCAUGCUGUGACAGUUUUGUUGAUGUUGAAUUCAUUGUUUUGAGUAACGUAAUAGUGGUGAAACAAAACAUAUUAGAAACAAAUAAUGAAUGCAUUUAUAAAAGUCAAAAUUUUCUCGAUAUUAUACCCUGACGGAAUAUGAUAAUGAUUAAUGUUGAUUGGAUUAAUAUAUUAGAAACAUAGCUAGUGGUGUUUUAACGUUUGCAUUUUCCAGAAUCCCACUAUAAUCUUAAUCAACCUCUUUAUAAAUACUUUUCGAAACAAUUUAAAAUUGUAGAGUAUUGUGAUGUAAAACAGAGAAAACAUACAAUAUAUGAUAUCCAUAACUAAUACAUUCUAUAUUGCUUCACCAAAGCAAUAAAAUAUUUAACUAACACCAAUCUUUAUAUCAAAUGAUAAAACAAUAU